AGGAUAAUAGUUAAAAUAACAUUUGAUUUGCAUUCAAAAAAUGUUGAAUAUUAUUCAACUUAUCUUA
rnacentral:tRNA from 1 species